CAAACGAAAAGCUCUUUCCGUAUAUCCAACCCCACCCCAAAGCACAAUGCCAUAAGACAGCACACUAUGAAAAAGCCCAAAAUAGGCUAUCCUAAGGGCCGCCGGGGUUAGACAAUGGCUGAGAUGUCUCAGUAGGAACAGUCGCCGAGACAACGUUGCACAGACCUCAUGAAUCUGGCCUGACCAUGACAGAGUCCUGUCAAUUACGAAUCCCAAGAGGGUUAUAUUAUUUUGAUACAGAUAGUCGACUUUACUGCAGGAGAAGAAAACCAUUGCUGGAGAACAUUUGUUGCUACGCUGACAUCUUCACUAAGCAUUCGUUGAUGCUUAGCUGUUAACAGAAUGGCAGUGUCGUCAGCAAACAAGGUGACAUUCGCAUCUGGCACGGACAAUGGCAGAUCGUUUAUAUAAAUGAUGAAGAGCAACGGCCCAAGAACCGAGCCCUGUGGGACACCGCAGCUCACUGGAAGAGCAUCAUCACUCGACACUCCACCAAACUCAACAUACUGAAACCUGUUACUAAGAUACGAUUUUAUUAACUUUAGAGGGAUACCUCUGACGCCAUAAAAUUUUAAUUUGUUUAAGAGCACAUCGUGAUCGACGCAGUCAAACGCUUUCGUAAGGUCGUACAGAAGUGCCUUUGAUACGUCGCCAGCAUCGAAACCCCGCACCACACUGUUCACAAAGUGCAUAAGUGCAUGGGUCGUGGAUUUCCCCUCACGAAAGCCAAACUGCGAUUCACACAGAAGUUUAUUUUCCUCAAAAAACAGUGACAGGCGAGCCUUCAGGGCUUUCUCAAUGACUUUACCGAAUAUAGGGGUAAUUGCAAUGGGCCUAAAGUUAUUUGGUAUCCGAAGGAAAUACGCCACUCGAAAACAC